AUUGUACUCCCUCCGUUCGGAAUUACUUGUCGUAAAAAUGAAUGUAUCUAGAUGUAUUUUAGUUCUAGAUACAUCCAUUUUCAAGACAAGUAAUUUCGAACGGAGGGAGUACUUG
rnacentral:pre_miRNA from 1 species